rnacentral:rRNA from 1 species
UACGAAGGGUGCAACCGUUGCUCGGAAUUAUUGGGCGUAAAGAGCUCGUAGGCGGUUCAGUAAGUCGGGUGUGAAAACUUUGGGCUUAACCCAAAGCGUGCAUCCGAUACUGCUGUGACUUGAGUUCGGUAGGGGAGUGGGGAAUUCCUAGUGUAGCGGUGAAAUGCGCAGAUAUUAGGAGGAACACCGGUGGCGAAGGCGCCACUCUGGGCCGAAACUGACGCUGAGGAGCGAAAGCAUGGGUAGCAAACAGG